rnacentral:rRNA from 1 species
AACGAACGCUGGCGGCAUGCCUAACACAUGCAAGUCGAACGGGUGGUAGCAAUACCACCAGUGGCAGACGGGUGCGUAACACGUGGGAACCUGCCCAGAGGUUCGGAAUAGCUGCGGGAAACUGCAGGUAAUACCGAAUGUUGCCUGAGGGCUAAAGGAGCAAUUCGCCUUUGGAGGGGCCCGCGUCGGAUUAGCUAGUUGGUGGGUAACGGCGUCACCAAGGCGACGAUCCGUAGCNGGUCUGAGAGGAUGGCCAGCCACACCUGGAACUGAGACACGGUCCAGACUCCUACGGGAGGCAGCAGUGGGGAAUAUUGGACAAUGGGGAAACCCGUGAUCCAGCAAUGCCGCGUGGGUGAUGAAGGCC